rnacentral:lncRNA from 1 species
UUGAGUGCUUCUACCACGAAUGAGAGGUGGGUGAAGGGGUAUAUAUAGGAAGCAGCCAAAAUCCAACUGGUACACACAAAAGAGCAAACUCGGUGAUACCGAAGUGGACAACUCGAUGGUACCGAUUAGCACUAAAGUGGUGAACUUUUGAAUCCCGGUGAGACCGAUAUAUAGAACUCGGUGGCACCCAAAAGGUGACUAACGAUCAGAUGGCCAAACUUGUGGCACCGAUACUCAAACUUGGAAAUUCCGAUUUUGUGUAUCUUGGCAACCAAAUGUUGGUCACACUGAACUCGGUAGCACCGAUGCAGUUUCGGUUGCACUGAUUUGGUGGAAAUGGCUAGGGUUUUGUCUUAGGUUCAAACUCGGUGGGUCCGAUGUGGCAAUGCGGGAAAAAUUACUCAGUGUUUUGGUGGCUAACUUUGAGCAUUUGAGCAAUCAGUUCAUUUUACUACCUCACCCCCUUUUAUUAGUUUUGGCUUUCCUAUGGACUCAAAAGUGAUUUCUCACAAAUAUAAAAUGAAGAGUCUUCUAGCUUGAAGCUUGAUCCAAUAUUAUUCCUUUCUUGCAUCGAGGGGCAUCUCCACAUAAACCUUAAGCCAUAACAUCUUUUGAACUUUUCUGAAAUAUACUUGAAAAACAUAGUAGUCCAAUGA